CCUACGGGGGGCAGCAGUGGGGGAUAUUGCACAAUGGGGGGAACCCUGAUGCAGCGACGCCGCGUGGGUGAAGGAGUGCUUCGGCAUGUAAAGCCCUAUCGGCAGGGAAGAAGCAAGACGGUACCUGACUAAGAAGCCCCGGCUAACUACGUGCCAGCAGCCGCGGUAAUACGUAGGGGGCGAGCGUUACCCGGAUUCACUGGGUGUCAAGGGGGCGUAGACGGCCAUGCAAGCCAGGGGUGAAAGCCCGGGGCCCAACCCCGGGACUGCCCUUGGAACUGUGCGGCUAGAGUGCGGGAGGGGCAGGCGGAAUUCCUGGUGGAGCGGUGAAAUGCGUAGAUAUCAGGAGGAACACCGGCGGCGAAGGCGGCCUGCUGGACCGCGACUGACGUUGAGGCUCGAAAGCGUGGGGAGCGAACAGGAUUAGAUACCCCAGUAGUC
rnacentral:rRNA from 1 species